rnacentral:siRNA from 1 species
AGAGGAUGACGGAAUGCCGGUUAA